UUUUUGGAAGAAGAAGACAAACUGACUCCACGUGCACGCGGUUGAGCUCCAAGUUUCCAAUGAAAUAAAAUGAUACUUCAAAUUAUUAAACUGCUUUCAAUUUUAAAAAUGGGUUGAUUGUACCAGUGACACGGGUAUCAGGGACCUGAAAGUGAUUAAUUUUCAUGUAAUGAUCGUUCAAUAAAUUAUCUUCAGCGAAAAAAUCAAAGUCCACGAUGAAUGUUCGUUGAAGGGAAAUGUCUUUUGCGAAGAAAAUAAACUCCACGACGAUUGUUCAUUGAAGAGAAAUGUCUUUUGCGAAGAAAAUAAAUUCCAUGAUGAUUGUUCAUUAAAGAGAAAUGUCUUUUGCAAGGAAAAUAAAUUCCACGACGAUUGUUCAUUGAAGAGAAAUGUCUUUUGCGAAGAAAAUAAAUUCCACGACGAUUGUUCAUUGAAGAGAAAUGUCUUUUGCGAAGAAAAUAAAUUCCAUGAUGAUUGUUCAUUAAGGAGAAAUGUCUUUUGCAAGGAAAAUAAAUUCCAUAAUGGUGGUGAAUUGCAAAGAAGUAUCUUCAAUGAGGACAAAUCAAACCACUCUUGACGAGAAGGCUUAAAUUAAUAACAACAUAAAUAGUGGCACCUGAUGCCAAUGUGUGAUUUAUUAAAUUUUAUAUGGCAACAAACAAAUUUUAUAUGGAAUAAAUAACCUAUCCAAUAAAAAAUUA